rnacentral:misc_RNA from 1 species
GUGAAUCAUCGAAUUUUUGAACGCAAAUUGCGCUUCCUGGCAUCCCGGGAAGUAUGCCUGUUUGAGGGUCAGUAUUAAUAAAAAAUCGGUUUAGAUACAAUUUGUUACUUUUCCGGAGUUUGGGCUAUUUUAACAUUUUUGGUUAUUAAGCUUAAAAUUUACCUUUUUUUUCGCAUUUUUAAACGUACAUAAAUUUUUUUUGUUCUUCUAUUCUGAAUUCCAAAAUCUUAUUAGAUGCGAGCUCAUCGUGUGGCUUGGUGUCCAUAAAUUUUUCA